GAUGAAGAACGUAGUGAAAUGCGAUAAGUAAUGUGAAUUGCAGAAUUCAGUGAAUCAUCGAAUCUUUGAACGCACAUUGCGCCCAUUAGUAUUCUAGUGGGCAUGCCUGUUCGAGCGUCAUUUCAACCCUUAAGCCCCUGUUGCUUAGCGUUGGUAGCCUACAGCCUGCUGUAGUUCCUCAAAGUUAGUGGCGGAGUCAGUUCACACUCUAGACGUAGUAAAAUCUUUAUCUCGCCUAUAGAUGAGCUGGCGCCUUGCCGUAAAAACCCCUAAUCUUUUACAAGGUUGACCUCGGAUCAGGUAGGAAUACCCGCUGAACUUAAGCAUAUCAAUAAGCGGAGGA
rnacentral:misc_RNA from 1 species